rnacentral:rRNA from 1 species
AGCGAACGCUGGCGGCGUGCCUAACACAUGCAAGUCGAACGUGAAAAGGGAAACCUGAGUAAAGUGGCGUACGGGUGAGUAACGCGUAGGUAAUCUACCCCAGAAUCUGGAAUAACCUGCCGAAAGGCGGGCUAAUACUGGAUAGAGCGAGGGAACUCGUAAGAGAGUUUUUCGGGAAAGGGAGCCCGCAAGGGCCUUCGUUCUGGGAUGAGCCUGCGUCUCAUUAGCUAGUUGGUAAGGUAACGGCUUAUCAAGGCGAUGAUGAGUAGCUGGUCUGAGAGGAUGGUCAGCCACACUGGAACUGAAACACGGUCCAGACUCCUACGGGAGGCAGCAGUGGGGAAUCUUGCGCAAUGGACGGAAGUCUGACGCAGCCACGCCGCGUGAGUGAAGGAGGCCUUCGGGUUGUAAAGCUCUGUCGGAUGGGACGAACAUCUUCAUAGUGAAUAGCUCUGAGGACUGACGGUACCAUCAAAGAAAGCACCGGCUAACUCCGUG